GAUAGAAUCGACAUUCACCAGCGCGGCCGUCGUUUUUGUCUUACGUGUGACGCACAUUGGGGUCCGAGCUGAACAUUUCUGUGCGAUUUUUAUUUGUUUGUUUGGGAGGCUCAGUUUUUGAUUGGUCCACAACUAGGCAAAGUCUUCUUGGCUUUCAAUGUUUUCGCGUGAGGAAAUAAGAGAAUGAAACCAAAGAUACACUCACACACAUACACACACACACACACACACACGGUGAAUUUCACUAAAAAGAUCAAGUGCGCCUGACGACUGGCAUGAGAUUGUCGAUUGCGUCACACAAUCUUAGAACCUCCCGAAAGUGUAGUUGUGAUCGACGCAGUUGGUCUUGGCACAGGCAGUCGCAGAUAGAAGGAAUUGAAAAAAAACAGACAGUCAACGCAAACAGGGCACGCACCACUGGGACGUAAAGUGUCGGAGUGAUUUCGGGUAAAGAUGAAAACAAAACAACAAAGACCAACAAACCGAACCACGGCUGCGUGUGGGUGUUUUUAAGUCACACGUCGCAGUAGCAGACUACACUUUGUAUGUGCUGCCAUCUAACGGUUGUUCUAACAAACGGAUGCACUUGUGCGACUCCGCGUGUCCGCCAUUCUGUCGUCUGCUAGUUCACGAGUUUCACACAAUAUAGACCAACAUUUCGAUAUCGACCACCUCGAUGGUUUGAUAACCGCCUGCUUGAGGUGACGGGGCGUCUCCGCUUCCUCCACUUGCUCCUCCGCUGAUCUUUUCACACUUGAGCACCGUUCCUAGCGGCGUCAGGAGCCGCUCCAGUUCUUCGUAACGCACAUGGGCCGGCACGUUGCUCAGGUACAGUGUCCGUGAGAGAACACUAGAUAGAAAUGGACGAAACAGAAGUUAAAAACCAAUUCAAGAGCAACUCAUCACACGUCCCUACAAAAACAACACAUGUAGACGGAAUAUGAGACAAGCAACUGGACAAAUAAAGAGCCGGACGUGACCGUACACAGGUGGUGGUGUAAAUAGUGAAAGAUGCCGUUAAAAACAUGACAAUUGGCUAUUUCCUCCCUUUCACUAUUUGUAUUGUUUCCGAUACCAAUCACGAGGAAAAUGGUUGUCAGCCAACAUCAGUCAUGUCGACCUGUAUCACAUGCAUUACACAUGUUUUUCUUCGAAA